GGGCCCGGCGGGGGCUGCGAGGAGGAGGAGUUUGCAUGGCAAUCCCUUUCUCAGGGAUGCUCUCUGGAAAGCUCCAGCACAAAGGAGCUGCGCGGCGGCCAGGAGCGUGCGGAGCCCGGCGGUCCCCGAGCCCAGCCUUCCCCUGUGGGUCAGAAACCUCAUCAAGAAUAGGGCUCGAGACAGGUAAAUGGAUUCUUGCCUGAUUUUCAAUGCUCCUGGAAGGAAAUGUAGCCAAAAAUGCUGGUUUACUUCUUUGUCUUGAAACCACCAUUUUCUCCUAAAGCUGGUGAUAGGUAGGGGGUUAGAGAAGAGGCUGGGGCCAGCACCCCCCCAGGGCGCUUCAGCACAGCCCUUCCCCCUGCAAAGAGCAAACCUGACAGAUGCUAUCCGGGCUGCUUUUGGGGAGCCAUUUUCUCUCCCUCAUUGUCUCACCGCCUUUUCUGUGUGUGAGUACAUCCUGCCCCAGGGAGCCAGGAGGAGCCCAGAAAUAAUCAGGUUUUCAGUUGUUUCUGGGUUUGCAGGGAGCCUUUCUCACCCCCUCCUUCUCCCAGGGCUGCCCAGGCUGCCCAGCCCUGAGAGCUGCAGACAAAGGGAGGCAGCCCCAGAGCCCGGGCUGGCAGCGAGGGUGGGCAGUGCUGAGGACAGGGGCACAUUGGCCACCCUGCCAGGAGCUGGGGGAUCUGGGGUGCCCAGACGACACCUCUCAGAGAUCACCUCUCCGGGCAUGGGCAGUAAGUAAAGCAGCCAGCACCGCACCGUGCCUGUGGCACAGCGGGAGCACAUGGGCACUCGCAGCAGUGGUGUGCCUGCUGUGCAUGGGCAGCCUGCCUGCUGCCCUUGCCUCCCUGCUCCUGCCUGCAGUGGAACUCGUGCUCCUCUCCUUCCUCCUUGCUCAAAGGUUUUUCUAGCCCCUGUUUAACUCAAGUGCUCCUGGGCGCUCAGCCCCAGGGACAAAUUAUGUGCCACCAGCCCUGUGUGGCAGCGGCAGUCGAGCUCGCAGCUGGUAAUCACUGCUUGCCAUGCACAAGAUUAGUGUUUGGUUAUGUGCUGCCCACACAAAAUUGUUUUUCUCCCCCCACCCUUCUCCUGGGAUGUACUUCAUUGUUGGGUGAGAGAGGCCAUCCUGCAGCAGUCACCCCAUGCAGACACGUCCCUCCUGCCCCACCAUGGGCGCUUCCCGCUCAGAUCCAGGCAGGGGAGUCCAUUUGCCAGAUGCUGGAUGGCAUCUCUGGUGCCUGCCGCUGCCCAGACCCCACCCAGCUGCCCCACAGCAGCUGGUUUGCAAAUGCUGCCUGGACGUGCUGUCCUCAUGAGAGGGACUAUCCUGCAGGCAGCGCCUGCAACUUGCGGCAACAAUGAACCGUGAGAAGCAACAGCAGCUCCGCAGCUGAACUGCAGAGUCAUCUCGGCCCAGUUCCCCCAGGACCAGCCUUGGCUGUUCCACGCGGGCAGGGCUGGAGGAAGGCAGGCAGCGCAGGCUGGCUGAUGGUGCCAGCCGCGUGUGCCCACAUCCUCGUGGCAGUGGCAGUGGCAGAGGCAGAGGCAGGCAGUCCCUGCAGAGCAGGCAGGGACAGUUUGGGGCAUUGUCAUCACUCUUGGUGUGGUUCUUCCCGGUGCCUCCUACUCUGUUCCUGCUGGUGGGUCUGGCUCCCUCCUGCUCUGCAUGGGGACAGGCACAGGAGGGAGAGGUGGUAUUUCUUUGGGGACUGGGUGUCCCUGAGCAAGCAGUGGGCAGCUGAGCAGAUGCACAUAGUGGGGGUGAGUGCAGGUCCCCCAUGGGGAGCAUGGGCUGGAGCUCCCUCACUUCCAACCUGCCUGCCUCUGCCCCACUGCUGCCUGCAGCAGAACCCAGCACCAUCUGCCUGCAAGCUGCAGGAGCUGCUGUGAGCACCUGGGUACCAAGGGGCAGUGCUGGCUUUGGGGGGGUGCUUGUGGAGCAGGGUGUUCAUCUAGUGCAGGAGUCAGCUGGGCAUUGCCGUGCUGCCCUGAGGCCGUGCCAGGAGAGGGGUGUUAGUUUGCCUGAGCUGGGAGGAUGACUGGGCCAGUCCCUGCUCCCCAGGGCAGCCCAGCGUGUGGGAGGGGGAAGCUGUGCAGGGCAGGCUGGGUGCUGGUACAGCAUCUCCCCAGCAGAGGUCUUACAUCUCUGUCUUGCAGGAUCUGGCCCUUUGCCCCCAGCUUUGGGCAGCACCCAGCCACCCUGUGAGCACCAGGAAUGGUGCCAGCAGUGCUGGGGUUCAGAGCAGAGGAUCCUGCCUCAGGGAUUUAAUCCUGCAGGAAUGGGGAGCUGCAGGAACGGCAGGGGAGCCAAGGGAGGUUCUGCCUGUGUUCCUGCCUGCCCUGCCCUGCCCGGCCCUCCUGCCAGGCUCCCAGCAGCACGAUGCAUCCCCCCUUGGCUCGGCUUGGCUCAGCUCAGCUCUGCCUGGGGAUGACGGUACCGUGUUGCUCUCCCUUGCUGCGUUGGUUGCUUUCUUUUGCAGCUGCUAAUGACUGACCUGAGGUCUGUUCACACACAGUCCCCUGAGCAGCCUCCACGGUGGAGCAACCAGACAGGACGGGGGGACAUUGCACGGCACUCACAUAGCUGCUGACCACAGUGCCACCAGCCCCAGGGGCACAGCCCCAGCUCCUGCCUGGUCAGACUGGCCAUGCCUGGAGGGGAGCCAGAGCUCAGGGAGCCAGAGCUUGGGGAGCCUCCAUCGCUGCCCACACAUGGAUGCCAGAGCCGGGCCAGCCCCAGCAGAGCAACCCGGUGCCAGCUGCCAUGGGCUGGAGCCAUGAGCCUGGCCACUGCAGGGGACAUGGCUGAAGAGACGGCGGUGGUGACACCUGAGGACAUGGGUUUGCAUGUGUGCACAUUUUUUCUACAAGGUCCUGAGGUCUCCUUCCCUCCUGCUGCUCCAUCCCAGCCAGACCCAGUGCAUGGGCCUCCCCAUGUGCCCUCCCUGGCAUUGGGCAGGGUCUGGGCAAGAUGAGACCCAUCACCUGCACCGAAUGUAAUGUAGGAGGAAGGAGAAGGGGAUGGGAGUGGAGCUGUGCCAGCUCAAGGAGGCAGGAUGGCCAGAGCCCAAAGGGACCCCAGUUCUUCCCACUGAUCCUGCCUGUCCUUCUGUCAGCAAAGUCCUGGUGCUUUCUACUCUGGAAGUGCCCUGCACUGCCAGCGUCAUGUCCUGGCAGGAUCCUGCCUCUACUCUGCUUUGAGAAAACAUCUGGUUUGUAGAGCAUGGGGAGGGACACGGGCAGUGCAUCCUCCUCCCGAGGCCUCUGCAGGGCCAUGUGGGGCUCCCAGUGGCCCCAUAAGCAGGUGUGACCAUUGCCUUCCCUCGCAGCCCCCUCCAGCAAGCGUCCCCCGAGCAGGUGGGAAGGCUGGGUGGGCAGUGGGCUGGGGGCUGAGGGCAGACACAGCCCCCUGAAGUGCACAAUGGAAAAUUAUCCUCAUGCGGAAUGGAGGGAGCUAGUGCUGCAGCAGGAGGUGACCCAGAGGAACAUGGGGCAAAGGGUGCCCUCGGUGCUGGGGCAGGGUUCAGAGCUACUGCUCCUGCCACCCCUCAGCAGUUGGCACCGGUCAGCGGCCUGCUCCUGCAUGCAGCCCCGUGGAGGGGCAGCUUCUGAUGGGGAGGGGAUAAGCUAUUGGGCACCCUUCUUCUGCUUCGUGUCAUGGUUUUCCCUGCUGGACCUCCUCCUCCCUCCACGGGCAGUGGGAGCUUGGUGGAGACCCAGAGCAGCUGUCACUGUCUCUGCAGAAGCCCUGCUCUUGCAGAGCUGCCUGUAGCCUUGCCCCUGGCACUCCAGUAAUGUUUUCACCCCUUCCCUCUCUGCUUCUGCCGGCUCCUUUUGUGCCCUUACCCCAGAGCCUUGCAAUGCUGAGUCACAGUCUGGCGCUGCCAGGAUUGUCUCCUCUGUGCAGCCCAUCUCUCAUUUUCACCAGUACCAGGGGUGGGAAACACAUGUUGUGUGUGGGCACACGCUGCUUGGGCGUUUUGUACCUCACCAGCAUGGAUGAUAGGGGCAGGUCCCUGCAAAGCAUUUAAUUCAGAAAGCCUUACAUUACUGCAGGCUAAACCCUCCGCUAACACCUUCCCAAAUCUCAGUUUGGUGACAAAGCCCAGGAACACCUCUCACUGUCCUGAGCCAGAGCCCUGCUUCGUCCCCAGGAGCCACACAGACCCUACCCUGGUAAAGUGCUUCUCCACCGGCGGGGCGCUAACCGGGACUGGCUCUGCAUGCUGCCGCUGUGCUCCGAUAUUAACCUACUAACCCUCCGGGACCCUUGCCACCCCCUCUGCCAGGGCUGCCAGGGGCUGCCCAAGCCCCUGGCAAACGGACUAACUCACUAACUGGCUCCAGCGCAUGCCCUACUAACCGGCCUUGUCUCACCUCGCACUAACCGCCGACAGCCUUUAAAGGGGAACGGAAAAGCUGGGUAAGUACGCUUAUAAGUGCCGGGCGUUGCUGCGUUGGUGACAGGCUGCGCAGGCAGGGCCAGGCAGCAUGAGCCCCUACAGCGGGCAGGAGGCGGCUGGCAGCCCCUGCCCCGCGCUGCUGCCCUUGCUGGCAUGAGGAGAGGGUUUCUCCCCGCACGCCGUGCUCGGGUCUGCCUGUGGAGUCUGUUGCUGACUAGGAGCCUAAAACGGUUUUAUCAGCAGAAGCUUUUCAGUUCCUUUUUAAGCCAGUAGAUCUCUGUUACUAACACAUUCCUGAACUGAAUUAAACAAACUAACCGUUGCUGCUUUUCUCUUCAUUUCUCUUCCAGUAUGUAUGUCCUCUAAGUCAGACCGAUUGUGCCAUGCUUCUGUUACUAACCUGUACUAAUUGUUCCUGACUUAUUUCUCUAUUGCUACUAACAAAUACUCUUUGCAUUUUAACUCUCGGACACUAUUUGCCAUGAUAAAUGAACAGUGGCCUCCUUCUGGACUCUUGGUUAUCAGCCUGCAGCAACCCGAAUCUCAGUGCUGCUGAGCAUCUUUGUCUCCCAUUCAGUGCAAUGGGAGGGAAGAUACUCAGGCUGGGGAGCUUUGAAAAUUUCCCUAAUUGGCCUUCUGUUUUCCAGGAAAUUUCCUGUGGCUAAAUGAGGAAAAGAGGCUGGAACAGAAAUAAGACAAUGUGGAAAAAUGUUAAUAGCAACUGGUAAUGGCUGUAAAGGUCCAGCAAACCCAGUUUGCAGAAAGAUUCAGCCAAAGAGUGAUGUUAUUGCCAUGAGCCCCAGCAGAACCCAAGCUCUGCGCUCUGCUGGGGCCCCAGUUCAUCUGUCAUGGGGAAUGGUUUCAUGCUGCUCCCCACAUUGGCACAUGGGUGCCAGGGUGGCUGCAGGGUGCUCCCGGGCUCCUCUCUUCACUCCCUUUGUCUCUCCACAGUUUUUCUUGUGACUUUGAUGCAUGUGGAAGCCAUUGCCAGCAGCGUGGUCCUGACUAACUGCACGGCACCGAGGGCUGCGUCUAACCGCUGGGUUGGUACUUGCAGGGUCCCCCUGGCUCGGCCACGAGCCCAGUGGGCAGGAGCGGGCAGCGGGUGGUGGAGGGUGGCUCUGCUGCUGGCUGCCUGGCAGGGCCAGGGGGCUGUAAGGCUGUCAUGGGGGUGCAGCCUGUGCUUUGCUUUCUGUCCAUCUGUUAGUCGGAUGAACAUCCCCUGCCUCUACAGGGAUUCUGCCAGAGUUAAGGCUUCAGGAUCUGGCCCAUCUGUAUGGGUUUGGCAUGCAGGCUAGCGAUCUGUGCUGAGACACCCUCAGCAUGAAGUGCUGGCUGUACCAGUGGGACAGAACCAAGCUCUGCGUGCCAGCAGAGGGUGGUAGCCCUGUGCUGCUGGCCGGGAAGGGGCUGGCUCAUGAGGACUCCCAAACCAUGGCUGCUGGGGGGACAUGGCUGUGGGGCGGCUUGUGGGGGGCUGCCUCAACCAAGGCUCAUGAGGGCAGCUCUGUCUGGGGUGUGUAUAGAUCCGGACAGCAUCCAUCUCUGGCUGCUCUCUUUUGGCUUUGGCCUGUGCUCACUAAUCCCAUGAUGAGGACCUUCCCAGAUAACCCAUAGGCGCUGGCCCACUUCAGUCUCACCCGACAGCAGCUCUCCUGCCUGCUGUUGGAAGUCAGAGCCAGAGCAGGGUCCCUGGGGCAGCCAGGUUCAUCCCGUGAUGCUGCCCACCUGCCCUUGGCAUCCCUGCUCUGCACUGCCCACAGCCUGGCCCUUCAGCUGGGGGCUCUUGCGCUGCCGGGGCUCCCCUCCCUACCCAGCUCCACGGCUGCCGACCUCCACCUUAACCCACUAACCAUGUGCCUCCCUUUCCUGGCACGGCUGGGGCCAGGGGGGAUUUUUGGGCUGGUGCUCCUGUGUUUAAUUGAAAGGGAAGGUAGGGCUCUGCUGUGGGCUGGGGGAAAAGUGAGCAGGAGGACCAGCUGGGUUGGGCACAGAGCAGGCAGGUCUGGGGCUCCUGGACAGGUCAGGAGUGCCACGAACACUGGGCUGGGGUUCCCAGAGCCCACCACCCAUUGCAAGGGACUGCCCUCUCUGCCCCCACAGAUCCCUCUUCUAGCUCCAGAGCAGCCCCCCAGCCAGCCCUGUGCCCAGUGGGACCUCCCCAGGCAAGUGACCGAGGGGAACAAUGGGACCACUAGUCACCCAGAUGGCCCAGAGGAUGCAUUGGGCAAAUGCGAGCCGCAUAGGUAGCAAGUGCUGCCCACAGCCUCCUCGGUGGGGGCAGGCCACCAGUGCCUGCGGGGCGGCUGCGCCCCCCUGCAGAUGACCACUUCUGAACAGGGAGGGGCUGGGGGGCAAGAAAGGCUUCAUGGAACAUCCAGGUUGCUCCUUUGCUCUCCCCCAGCACCUCGGGGUUCCCUGCCCCUACUCCCCAUUUCCCUUGGCUGGGAGAGGAGUCAGUCUGUCGGUCUGUCUGUCCCCCUUUGCUGGUGCCCCCAGGGCUGUCUGAAGAGGGGAGGCAGUAGCACAAGCGGGGCAUGAUAUGCAGCUCCCCCCUUUACCAGCUGCAGCGAUGACAGAUGUGAGGCCAGGCCACCUCAGCAGCAAUGUGGGGUGUAGAGGUCUGGGGGUGAUGCCUGGCUCUGGGGGCACCAUCCUGCCCAGGGCACACCAGCCCAAGGUGGCCGGGGCUGCCCCUGCUCUGCAGGACCCCGCUGCCGCCUCAUGCCCAGCACGGUGGGAGCAGGCAUGGCCGCGGUGGGGCUGAGGACCAGUGUGGGGCAAGGAUGCUCUGGGGGAGGGGAUCCUGGGGCUGCCUCUGUGGUGUGAGUGGAAGUCCUGUGGGUCCCCACAGUCCUGAGGAUGUCCCUACUGCCUGUAAUGUCUGCUGUGAACAUGGCAAGUGUGCAACCA